GGGAGCGUGGCGGAAUUGGUAGACGCACUAGAUUUAGGAUCUAGCGCCUUCGGGUGUGGGAGUUCGAGUCUCCCCGCUCCCA
rnacentral:tRNA from 1 species